CCAAAUCCCAAAUAAAACCCUCCCUCGUAUGAAAUUUCAAAUUCCCUCUCACGCUCACCAUUUUGUUCUCUCACAAUUUGAAACCCUGUUUCUAAAAUUCCAAUCAUUCCUUUCGAAAUAUAUUAUUUUCCUUCAUGGAAUAUGAGAUGAACAGUGCGGCAGUGGCGUCGACGGUGUAUGUGAGCAUCUCUUCUCCAAUGGCACCAUUUCCACCCUUUCCAUAUUGUGCACAUCUUUUCGUACUUGCCUAGGGAUCUGAACUUCGUUGAGCAACAAGUAGCAUUGGUUGGAAAGAGGGUUAUAACAACUUUCUAUGAGAGAAUUGAAGGACUUGAAUCAUUUGAAAGAAAUCUAGUAUUUUGUUUUUUUGGCUGAGGUGGUAGAUGACAAUUCAAGGGACGUGUUUUAAUGAUUAAGGUUCUAACAAAGACAUAUUUAGUUUUAAGAAACCCUUUUUGUGUUUCUAACAAGGUUUGUUAACUUUGUAGUCAGGAAAUUUUAUAAUGUUUUGAUGUUAACUUCAUUAUACAUUAUGAAUAUAAAAUAUUUGUUUUCUUUCUUUA